rnacentral:rRNA from 1 species
GAGAGUUUGAUCCUGGCUCAGGACGAACGCUGGCGGCGUGCUUAACACAUGCAAGUCACGGGGGCCCGCAAGGGUAACCGGCGAACGGGUGCGUAACACGUGAACAAUCUGCCUAGAUGUGGGGGAUAGCCGGCCCAACGGCCGGGUAAUACCGCAUACGCUCUUCGGGUGGCAUCACUUGAAGAGGAAACCUCCGGGGCAUCUAGAGGAGUUCGCGGCCUAUCAGCUAGUUGGUGGGGUAACGGCCUACCAAGGCAAUGACGGGUAGCUGGUCUGAGAGGAUGGCCAGCCACAUUGGGACUGAGAUACGGCCCAGACUCCUACGGGAGGCAGCAGUGGGGAAUAUUGCGCAAUGGCCGAAAGGCUGACGCAGCGACGCCGCGUGGGGGAUGAAGCAUUUCGGUGUGUAAACCCCUGUUGCCCGGGACGAACAAGCGAUUUUGAUCGCUCUGACGGUACCGGGUGAGGAAGCACCGGCUAACUCCGUGCCAGCAGCCGCGGUAAUACGGAGGGUGCGAGCGUUGUCCGGAAUCACUGGGCGUAAAGGGCGCGUAGGCGGUCUGCUAAGCGUGUGGUGAAAGCUCGGGGCUCAACCCCGAGUCUGCCAUGCGAACUGGUGGACUAGAGCACUGUAGAGGCAGGUGGAAUUCCGGGUGUAGCGGUGGAAUGCGUAGAGAUCCGGAAGAACACCAGUGGCGAAGGCGGCCUGCUGGGCAGUAGCUGACGCUGAGGCGCGAUAGCGUGGGGAGCAAACAGGAUUAGAUACCCUGGUAGUCCACGCCGUAAACGAUGGGGACUAGGUGCUUGGGGGAGCGACCCCUCGAGUGCCGGCGCUAACGCAUUAAGUCCCCCGCCUGGGGAGUACGACC